UGUGGUGUAUCUAAUUUUAAAAAUUCAUUGCUAACUAAAGUUUGUAUAGGAACUUUAGUAAUAGUUGUAUUUGGAGUAGAACUGAUUUUCAUUGAUGUGAAUGUGGAAAUAUUUGUCUGGGCAUGUGGGAUUUGUGUGGUAGUUGGGGUUAUUUUAUUUUCUGCAGUGGGAAGUGUAUUGUCACUAGGAUGGUAGGGUAUACUAAUUGAAGUAGCACUAGGUAAUAGAGUCAGGAAAUUUGAUGAGAUUGUUGUCAUAUUGUUGGUACUAUUACUAGUAUUAUUUCUUUCUAUUGGUAAAUGAGAUUGGAUGGAUGGUGUUGGCUGUUGAGAGUUGCGUAUGUUAGUAAGGAUAUUUUGUUCCACAUGAAACGUGAAAGCUUGGGAAUUCACCGAUUAGAUUAUCCCUGUGGUGGACGUGG
rnacentral:lncRNA from 1 species